rnacentral:rRNA from 1 species
ACGGGAGGCAGCAGUGGGGAAUAUUGCACAAUGGGGGAAACCCUGAUGCAGCGACGCCGCGUGAGUGAAGAAGUAUUUCGGUAUGUAAAGCUCUAUCAGCAGGAAAGAAAAUGACGGUACCUGACUAAGAAGCCCCGGCUAACUACGUGCCAGCAGCCGCGGUAAUACGUAGGGGGCAAGCGUUAUCCGGAUUUACUGGGUGUAAAGGGAGCAUAGACGGUAAGGCAAGUCUGAAGUGAAAUGCCAGGGCUCAACCCUGGAACUGCUUUGGAAACUGUCCUACUAGAGUGCAGGAGAGGUAAGUGGAAUUCCUAGUGUAGCGGUGAAAUGCGUAGAUAUUAGGAGGAACACCAGUGGCGAAGGCGGCUUACUGGACUGUAACUGACGUUGAGGCUCGAAAGCGUGGGGAGCAAACAGGAUUAGAUACCCUGGUA